rnacentral:rRNA from 1 species
AACGAACGCUGGCGGCGUGGAUUAGGCAUGCAAGUCGAACGGUCCCUUUAGCUUUUCCGAAGGGAUAGUGGCGAAAGGGUGAGUAACACGUGGGUUACCUACCCUUGGGAUCGGGAUAACCUGUCGAAAGACGGGCUAAUACCGGAUACGUCCUAUGCUUUGCGAAGCAUAGGAGAAAGGCGGGGAUUCUUCGGAACCUGUCGCCCUUGGAUGGGCUCGCGGCCUAUCAGCUAGUUGGUGGGGUAAUGGCUCACCAAGGCUAAGACGGGUAGCUGGUCUGAGAGGAUGGUCAGCCACACUGGGACUGAGACACUGCCCAGACUCCUACGGUGGCUG